UUUGGAGACUGGGCAUCCACUAUCCCAGGCCAGACCCGAUCGUCUAUGGUCCAGUGGCUUAACCCACAGUCUCCAACCACAACAAGCUCCAACUCAGCUGUGACACCUCUUUCACCCGGGUCGUCCCCUUUCCCCUUUUCUCCUCCUGCUACUGUAGCGGACAAGCCACCUGAAAGCAUCCGCAGUCGGAAGGCUCGAGCCGUGUAUCCGUGUGAAGCAGAACACAGCUCGGAAUUAUCUUUUGAAAUAGGAGCAAUUUUUGAGGAUGUACAAACCUCCAGGGAACCUGGCUGGCUAGAAGGGACUCUGAACGGCAAGAGGGGGCUGAUUCCACAGAACUACGUCAAGCUGCUGUAGCUCCUGGCCUCAGAGCCCCUGCUGACCCUGGCACCCAGGGACCUGCCUGGGGGCAGAGAGCUGUCUUCCUCCUCCGAGGCUCUGGGCUGCACCCACAGGUACCUCCACACUUGGGAGUUACCAUCAUCACAGUCAGCCCUGGGGGUGGGGGGUGGUGGGCAGGGAUGGGACGCACCACACAGAACUGUGAUUGUGGAUCAGGAGGGGAAUGUCAGGAUUCGCAAAAUGGACUUUUCAUUUGUCAAGUAUUGGGACUUGUGAUUUUUAAUUAUCCAGCAUAUAGAAUGAGAGGGAGGGCAGCCUUCUGCCACCUGUGUCGCCUCCACUGGCAGUCACGCCACCAGAGCCACCCUGGCUCCCUCUCCUCCCUGAGCACCUGCUGCUGCGAUUUUAAAGGGAACUGUACUACUCGCAGUGAUAGGUUUGCAGAGUGUGUGCUUGGCUGUGGCAGCCUAGCUUGGAGAAGCUGCUGUUGGUGCAAGGGAGAUGGUCUCAAGUCAGAGGGAAGCAGAGACGCGCGUCUCAAGCCUGCCCUUCCUAGACGGCCACCUGCAGGACCCCACACUCACUGCACUGGCAGCGUGCACUGGCGUAUUUGUAACAGGCUUCUCGGUGCUCCUCACCCGUGUGCUGUUUUCCAAACACCACCUUUUUGCCUCAAGGUCUCUGUAAAUGAAAUAAACUGUAAUUU
rnacentral:lncRNA from 1 species